UUUUAAUAAAUGCAUGAUUAUAACAUUGUCUUGAGGUUUUUUAAUGAGUCAAAUGAUUGGACUAAUGUUAAAGCAAUCCACUGUUUGUUAGUGAUCCUUCAACAAUUUUAUGAAAAUAUAUGUUGAAUAAAUACAUUUGUUUAAUCCAUGUACAUUCAGACAAUAGAUAAAAAUUACCAAUAAUUGUUUGAGCGAAUCAAAUAUUGAAUGAUUCAGAGAUUUUUGUCUGAAAGCGAGUGAUUGUGUGACAGUAAGAUGAGCCUUUAAUAUGCGGGAGGUUUUUGUACAGCCUCUUAACGAGUUUGUAUCACUGUGGUACACUUUUGGUGGAGGCACCAAACUCAUCGUUGACUUGGGAGUGGUGCAGCCCACGCUGAGCGUCCUCCCUCCCUCCAGAGUGGAGCUGGAGCAGGGCAGUGCUACACUAGUGUGUGUGGCCAGUGGGGGCUUCCCCUCAGACUGGAAGCUUGGCUGGAAGGUGGGGGGCAGCAGCAGGUCUGGGGGGGUGUCUGAUAGCCUGGGGGUCCUGGGGAAAGAUGGCCACUACAGCUGGAGCAGCACCUUGACCCUCCCUGCAGACCAGUGGAGGAAGGCGGGCUCAGUGAGCUGUGAGGCCAGUAAGAAUGGCCAGACGCAGCCUGUCACUCAAACCCUGAAUCCUGACCAGUGUUCAGAGUAGAGAGGCUCCAGCAUGGAAGUACUGGAGAACACAGAUCUCCUCUGACACGUCUGCUUCAUGUCUCUAUCUGAGGUGGCAAUGCAGCUUUUGAUGAUUUACAUUAAUAUAACUCGUGUUGGAUUCAUUGACAUUAUGCUCUCUGAUUUUAUCCCCUUGCUUUGUCACAUGUUGAAUCAAAUAAAAAAACAAA